AAAGGGUUCUACAAGGAAGGUUUAUGAAAACCUUGAGAAUAAAAAUGCAGAAUAAUCAUAUCCUUAUAGAUUGUAUCAAGACGACAGAAAUUGUAUGAUCAGACCCCUGACCAUCGCCUCAGCUCAUCAUUGCGUCAUCUGGAUGGCUUCCCUAAGCUCCCACCUGGGCCCAGAAAGGAAACGGCUUAUGACCUGCAGUCUUUGACUAUCACCAUCUCCAUUCUAUUUAUGGCCCUGCUGCACCUCUGUGCAAAUUAGGAGAAGGUGACCCUCUUGUGGGGAUGGAGGAGAAGGACAAACCAGGCCGUGAUCUGGCCAGUAAAGUGGGACUGGGCUGGCUCCUGGUGGGCUUUGGUAAGGUGUAACCUGCACCAUGGUCAUUACUGCCCAAAAUGAGAGCCAUCAGCUUGCUAAGAAUCGCUGAGCCCGGAGCGCCACUCUUGGGUGAAGAUGCUUCUUUCAGAUCCCCGCCUACCCACCUGCAAGGCUUGCAGGAAGUCUUGAGAAGAACCAAGAAGGAGGCUGAUGCUCCUAGUUGUUCAUGAGCAGCCAAUGUGGUAGGCUGAUGCCUAACAGUUUCCACCUUCUUCUGCAUUUGUGGCUGAGGAUCUACCCAUGAGCCCCACAGAGCAAGAGCUGCCAGAUUAAUGCUCCUGCCUAUGACAUGGAAAUUGUCAAAAAUAGACCUGAAUCCUUGCCAGGCCUCCCCAUGAUUUCUGUGUAGUAUGGCCUUAAAUAUAUUAGAUAAGUCAGAAGCCUAAAAUAGCUCAGCUCUUAGAAUAACAGAAUUUGGUCCCCUCCCACUUCCGUAAGUUGAAUUCUUAAUUGCUAAAUUUCAGGCUUUUUUGUUGUUGUUUAUGUAAGAAUUUCAAGGCCACAACUCCAUAUUUGAAGUAAAGUGCUCAUAAAAUUAAUUGCAAGACUUCUGAAGAGAGAUUUGCUAGGAAAAAUAAAAAGAUAUAUAAAUUUCAGUGAUGCUGAAGGUUUUGAGAAGCCAUCUGCAGCUCACAACUAGAUGAGUGACACAAUCAGAUGUGCGUAUGCAAAAAAAAGCCUGGAGACAUUGAACUAAGAUCAAAUUUAAUGUAUUAAAUAUGGUAGAAAGAAGAGAGAAUGAAAAAUAAUGUUAACAAUCUAGGUGAGGAAUUGCUGAGGAGACAAAUUAAGUAAAUCCUGUGGAAGGAAAGAAGAAAGGAGGAAAGAGGAUUGGAUGGAAGAAUCUCCACUUCUCAUAGGUGUAGUCCUUCCUUAGCCUGCUUUUUAAUGAGUGCUGCUAAAGCCCUUAGCCUGCCUGUUUACCCUUGGAGUGGAGCAAUGAACUGAAGAUAUUUGAGUGAGUUCAAGAGAGACUCAGAAGAGAAGAAUUGGAGGCAGCAAACAUAGACAGCACUUUUAAUGCUUUUCUCAUAUGCUGUAAGACAUGAAAGCAAUCUAUUGGGAUGAAAGCUGAAAGGAGAAGCGGGACAAGAGAAGAAGAGAAGCAAGAAACCAAAUACUGGGGGAUAUAUUGCACAAGUAUAACUUCAAGAAACCCAAGCCAGUGCAAACAAUUCAAAAAAUAAUGGAACCCGAAGACAGCGAACCUUCCAGGGAUGCUAUGGACAUUUAUCCCCUCUGCUAACAUUUAUGUUUCUGUAGUUGAGGUUCAGUUAUAUCACAGUUUAGACAACUCCCUAGAAACAAUGAUCCCUGUUAAAGCUGCUCCAGGAGCACAGGAAUUCCUUUGAUGAGCUCUAAGAGAUUGGUAACAAUACCUCCUGAAGGGCCGUGUUGCUAGGUAACAGCUUGUUUCCUUGGUCACAGUGAAUCCGUGGAAGACCCCCAAAAGAGGCUGCAGAUUCUUAGUGGACAGCUCUCAUAUCCCCUCCAGGGAAAAUGAUGAAAAAUGUCUUCAGAAAAAUAGCUUUAUGAAGGCAAGAGGACUUUUUGCACCUGCAAGACAUGUCUGAAAGCUCCUCAGGUCAAAACACAAGUAGUCAAGAGAUUUGUCCAUCUAAUUCAUCAUACUACUCUGAUCCAAGUGAGACCCACACUGGGUCAGCUCCAUCAAGGAGAAGAACAUUCCACCCACGUUUGGAUUCUGGAAUAUCAUCCUUGCUUCCAUCAGAUUCUUGUAAGUACCUCACUUGGCACAAGGUAGACAUGACGUUCAAGGAAGUCAACUGCGUUGCCCAAGAGUAAGAGAAGGAAUCUCUGAAGAAGAGCAACUUUUCAGACAGGUAGAGUGUGCCUUGCUCCCAAGGAAAAGAGUUCUUGAAAAAAACAAAUGGGAAACAUGGCUACAAGAAAACUGGGAAGACUGCAAGAAUUUGAACAUUUCAUUUCAGGGUUUGGGGGAUCCUUACCAAGUUGAAAAUUUUAACAGAAUUCUUAGAAGACUAAUUCGAGUUGAAACCCUCUGGUUAGUGGAUAAUUCACUGGUGGACUUAAGUGCCAUAAGAUUGCCAAGAGUAUUCUCCUGUUUGCCAAACUUAAAAAUGCUGGAUGGAAUCUUGAAGCUACCAGAAGAUUGCUUAUCACCAGAAACCAAUAUUUUUUCAAAAAUAUGCCUUGUAUCCUAAUGCAGUCUGUAUAGAAAGAAAGCAAUCAUCAUUGUUGCUAAAAGCUAAUAAACACAGGACAUGCAUGAUUAAAUAUUGCAGUUUAUUUUAUAUCUUUUUGCUUUUCUAAAUCAAGGCAAAAACAUGCUAACUGACAAGAAAAUCAUGGGUUUUAUACAAGGAUAACAAGUGCUGGGUUGCUUAGCUAUGAGGAAGGCUAGGCUCACUGCAUACCAGAAGAUGUACAGCGUUGGAGAAUUCAGGGAUUUUUAUCAACAAUCAAACUAUAUUUGUGGAAAUUUUGUGCAUAAGUGCCAAAGAUGGCUGACAUCGGACCACAUUCUAUUUAACUCAACUGAAUGACACCAAGCUCUCAUCCUAAAACUUAUAGUUACAUCCACCCUUCUGAAAUAUUUAAUUAUUCUCCAAUACACUGGAGGUAAUAGGUAUAAAAAGAAUGAGCAUGUGCAACUUAGUAUCUCAUAUCUAAUUUUGUGUCCCAAGUUCAUUCUUCCCCUGAAUGUCCCAUGUCUACCAGGUGCAGGAUUAUCUGGAUGGGUCAGUUCAAAACAAUUUCAGGGAAUAAAUUGUGUAGGGGACUCAAUUUUCUGAGACAGAAACAUAAUGUGAAUAACUCCUUUGUUAGAAAAUAAUUUCAGUGACAGAAAGCCUUUCAGUUCAUAAAGAAAACUUACAUAUCAACAAGCCUAGCUCCUCACUAGUCCCAGUGAAUGCUUACAUCAAUCAGCUCUACAAUAUCCAGUAAAGGACUUUCCAAUUCGCCUUUGAAUAAACUGAGGUAUUGGAAACAUCUAAGAAAAUGGUUUUUAAUUCUUCCUAAUCUUCAGGGAGUUCUUCCUUAUAUUGAGCUGAUAUCUGCCCUCUGUAACUUUCAACUAAUUAUUCAAAUCUCUCAAGUGAUUAUAAUUAAUUCCAUCUUAUAAGGAAUUUUUCUCAGCUUCCAGCCUCUUGAAAAUACUCUGAUAUUUUCUCUAAUAUUCAAGUGGAAAUGUAAAUGGGUAACGUAAGAGUCUGUGGGGUUAGGAGGGUGGAGGAAAGGUAAGGGAAAGCUAAUGAGAAAUAACCAAAGCAAGAAAAAGAAUUUUAUUUUCUUCAAGUUCUUUGUACAUCCAAAGUGGAAGAUUCCUAAAAUAAAUUCCCCAUACCACAUUUUAAAAAUUAGGUUAGCAAGCUUACUUUUUAAUUUAUUUAGAAGCCAACUACUUCCAUUUAUUAUUUCUUUCCAGAAUAGAACAAUUAUCACUAAUUGUUUGUCAUUAUAAUGCCAAACUAUGUUAAUAGAUGCCUAUUUUUUUAAAGGCUAAUUGCAAUCAUGAAACCAAAUAUCUAAUUAGUUUUAGAGCUUUGGACCACAUGCAUCAAUAUUUGAAUCAUUCAGGUGUAUAUUUGCUUUCUGCUUUUUUGUCUCUUCAAAAGAAGUAUUAUAUGCAUUCUGUUUAUAAUUUCUAAAUGGUCAUUUCAAAACUGAUUAUACGAGUUUAUACAAAUCAUACUGAAAUUUGUUGCUUAAAAAAUCUUCAUUUUUCUCUAAGCUCUCAGUGUCCUUGAGCUAUAUAUAUUUUAUGGCAAUUUUUACUUAAUAGUUUGUAUGCUAGUUAUUUUUGACAAUGACUACUAAAAUGCAAGUUUCUUCAAGGGCAGAUUCACCUUAGUUCUUCUUUAUACCCCUCAAAAACCUCAGGGUUAUUCUCAAUAAGUAUUGAGUAGGUGAGUGAACUUUGGAUGUAUACUCCUUGAAAUUAUAUUUCUGGAGCUGGAAAACUUUAAAAAAAUGUAUGUCAUGAGUCUAAAGAAAUAAACAUUAUAUGGCUGAAAAAAUACUUUGUGAAAACCAAAAAUCUCAUGGAAUCAUGAACUUAUCUAUGGGACAGAUGUUAGCCCUGAGGUUGUUCUGGGCUUCUUUUCUACCCACUUCCCAUGACCAAAUCAGUUCACUAGUCAGCAGUUCUAUCCUUCCUCUCCUUCUCCUUCCAUCUAAGGAGCUAGAGCUGAACUGCUUGGCCACUGAUUGCUGACAUGCUGAGUUUUCUACAGCUGGAGUUUUCAAGAGGGCUUUGAUUUUGCUUUCCCCAGUUUUCCUUCUUCCACACUUGAAAAGUGGUAAGGGUACCAGCUUUCUGUCUAUCUCUGACUCUCUCUCUCUCUUUCACACACACACACACACACACACACACACACACACACACUUUUUUUUUUCUUCCACCCUCCUGCACAGCAGGAGACCUUGCCUUGAUCUUUGAAGGUCUACAGCAAGUGGUCUAGGCUAACUCAGUGCUGGGCAAAUGGAGCAAAAACUCUUUUCUGCUUCCUUGCCUCCAUGUCUUUCAGAGCUAGCAGAUACAGCUUUUGUUCUAUAGGAGUGAUUCUUUCUAAAUGUCAGCUCAACAGGAUGAUGGUCACUCUUGUAUAUCACUUAGGCAUGAGUUCUGUUGAAUCCCA
rnacentral:lncRNA from 10 species